rnacentral:rRNA from 1 species
AAUGAACGCUGGCGGCAGGCCUAACACAUGCAAGUCGAACGGAGUUAUAUUGUAGCUUGCUAUGGUAUAACUUAGUGGCAGACGGGUGAGUAAUGUAUAGGAAUCUACCUAGUAGUAUGGAAUAAUUGUUGGAAACGGCAACUAAUACCGUAUACGCCCUACGGGGGAAAAAUUUAUUGCUAUUAGAUGAGCCUAUAUUAGAUUAGCUAGUUGGUGGAGUAACAGCCUACCAAGGCAAUGAUCUAUAGCUGAUCUGAGAGGAUGAUCAGCCACACUGGAACUGAGAUACGGUCCAGACUCCUACGGGAGGCAGCAGUGGGGAAUAUUGGACAAUGGGCGAAAGCCUGAUCCAG